GGAUAGCUCAGUCGGCAGAUCAUGAGACACCCAAUCUCAGAGUCGUGGGUUCCAACCCCAUUAUUGGGCA